rnacentral:rRNA from 1 species
AUUGAACGCUGGCGGCAGGCCUAACACAUGCAAGUCGAGCGAGUGGCGGACGGGUGAGUAAUGUAUGGGACACUGCCCGAUGGAGGGGGAUAACUACUGGAAACGGUGGCUAAUACCGCAUACCAUCGGAUGUGCCCAGAUGGGAUUAGCUAGUAGGUGGGGUAAAGGCUCACCUAGGCGACGAUCCCUAGCUGGUCUGAGAGGAUGACCAGCCACACUGGAACGGAGACACGGCCCAGACUCCUACGGGAGGCAGCAGUGGGGAAUAUUGCACAAUGGGCGCAAGCCUGAUGCAGCCAUGCCGCGUGUAUGAAGAAGGCCUUCGGGUUGUAAAGUACUGUCAGCGGGGAGGCGUUACCCGCAGAAGAAGCACCGGCUAACUCCGUGCCAGCAGCCGCGGUAAUUC